rnacentral:lncRNA from 1 species
AACCAUGCUCAGAAACGAUAUUCAUAAGUAUGUCAUGCCAAAUAUCUCAAAAUAACAGAAUAAGUAACUCAGGUGAAAUAACAUAUCAGCCAGAUCCACCUAAAGUGGCAUGUACGGCUGAAUCUAUAGCUCAACAAGUAUGCCUGCACACGAGUUGGAACCACCUAAAGUGGUAUGUACGAUAGGAAUGGGUGUAAAUAAAUAAAUACGUUAUAGUGCUAUGAUCACGUGAAGACUGUGCGAAUAAUCACGAGUCACUGACGAGUCGGAACCACUUAUAGUGGUCUAUACGACAGGAUUGUGCACCUAACUUGGAUCCAAGGUGAGCGUAUGGUGCGGGAGGUGAACAUCACAUGAAGGCCUGUGCCCUGGCCACGGGCGGGAGCACUAACACCGGGGUGCAUGUUUAUAAAUUCUUAACACAUCUCACAUCAUCAUCAAAUCACAUAUAAACAGCCUACAACUUACCUAGUACUUACCUGAGCGUCCACAACGUCAAAUCAUAUUUAUGCAUACUAUACUAAUUCAUAUUCUAAGUAUAAAUCAAUAUGCAUGGCAUUUCAAAACAUAAUUUCAUUAAACGCAUUUUCUGGGAAAAAUAUCAAGUAUAUAAGUAUAUAGUGAAAACUAAAAGCCCACUCAGUGAUAUGUGGAAGGGUCGUAACCCCCGAGCCUUACUUGACUGCGCUCGUCCUCCGGAUAGGUCUCACCUAUAUGUGAAACAACUAUAUAAACAUUAUUUAAAGCACAUACACAAAACUAGGUAAUAACUUCUCAUACAAAGCUUAAAUGGGGUAUUUGAAUAUACCACCGAGACCUACUCAACCUCAUAAAC